rnacentral:lncRNA from 1 species
GUAUUUGUCUGCUCUGUGAAUCAUACCCCCAUUUUUAGGAAGCUGGUAAAGGCCUAGUUCUCACAGAGGAGGUAAAUUUGUGUGGUUGUGCCAUUUUAGACUCAUAUGACUGAAUGCUUCUCCAUCCAAUAAAUAAUCCUGACACUUAGAUAACUGGAUGCCAGAGAGAAGGGUUUUAGCCUAGCCUUCUGCUUGACAUAUAUCACAUUAGAUGUGGGACGGGGGAGAACAUGGUUGCCAAUCCAAGCAGAAAGCAGAAUUGAACUUCCAUGCAUCAGCUGAGUUCAGUUCCACUACAUGCUGAUGCAUGAACUAAUUCCCCACUGGGAACUAGGUCACACAUCCAAACCCUGAGGAAACCAAGAGUGAACAGGUAGGGAGUCCAAUACUGUUUAGAAUCUCAAUUCAAACCAUAUUCUGAUCAGGAAGGAGUUUGCACUGAAACCCUGGCUAAAACUAAGAUUCCUUAGUUUUCCACCUCCAUUUUAGCAGCAGUUGCAACUGAACCUAUCAGUUAAGGAGUAGUGGGGACUCUGCUUUCCCCCGGAGGGAAAGUGGUUUCCAUUGCAAACUGCUCCAAAUGUCCUGAUUUUCCAGGGACAGUUCCAGAAUUAAAGAAGCCAUCCCAGUUUCUGAUUUGAUCCUGGAAUGCCCCUCUUUUCCUUUUUCCUCCCCUCCAUGUCUCAGAUAACAUUUUACUUUCCCAGUGAUGUAAAAACUACUUUUAGCCCAUGGAAUGCAAUUUCCAUGUAUGCACAAUUAACAGUUGUAUUACCUUUCAGUCAGUUGUUAUAGUUCUGUUAUUGGGUUUCGUACUUCUAGAGACCAUCCACCCAAAGUUUAAAAAUGUAAAUGUGGGAAACAAUGUUGAAUGCACUGUGUUUCUUUAAAGAAAAACAAAAACAUUUAUCAUUCUUCUCUUAUUCUGCACUUCAUAAACUUAAAUAUGCAUUGCCAAAGGGUUAUAUCAUUUAACUAGAAAAACAGACAAAUGUCAAUUUUCAAAAGAUUACCCUGUGUGCAAUUGGGCAGGGUGUUGUCUUCUCUUAAUGUUGUUAUUAUUAUUGUUCUACUUGUUGGAAAGUUACUUCACACUUUAGCUUCAAGUGUCUUUACUCUCAGGUUCAAAAGUUCAUUGGAGUAAUUUCAGUAAUUAGAGAAGAGUACAAAUAUAUAAGUGAACUUAAUAGGACUGGAAAGAGUUAAACACUGUACUCUUCCAAAUGGGCAUAGUAAUAAUGUCACAUAGGCCGAUCUUUAUAUAACAAAUUUUUCCCACACUUAGAAAUUCCCCUAUGUGCUGCACACCAUGGCCCCCUGGGGGUUUAUGUGAUGCUCUGGGAUAUGUGGCUUAAUGUGUCCUGUUCUUUCUGUAUCUUGUGAAAUUAUUAAAAGCUUUCUUUGUUCAUUUUUUUAAAGAGACAUGAAAGUAGUAGCUGCUGUAUUUCCACAUUGUUCUGGGUAGCAGCAGAAAGAAUUUUGGACUGUUUUCAGUGACCACCAUCCUCACAAUCUUCAUGAGAAAUGCAUCAAUGAGUAAACAUUCACAAUAAGUGCCCACAUUCAAAUUCUAGUUUAACAUUGUUCCUGAAUCCUUCUGAUAUUUACUGGAAGAAAUGUUCCUAUAAUUUCACAUUCUACAUCUACAAAUGUACCACCUUAUAAACGUACCAUAAUGUGCCUUCCAAGUCUACAAUUUAAUUUAAUAAUUCCACCACAUACUAUAGUAUUUUAAAAUAUUUAAAUAAUCACCUUUUAGGAAAACUGAAGCAGCAAUGCAAAAACUUCAUUGGGUUCCUACGAGAGCUUACAAACAAGAGAGGGAAGCAUGCUGGGGUGUUUUCUGAGGCUUGGUUUUGGGACAAAACAAAAUAAGUCCGCUCUCCCCAUAUGUCAUGAACUGGCAGGACACUGAGGAAGGGGAAGAGGAUCCCAGCAAGUGGUGUAGCCAUGACUGGUACACACUGGGACAAGUUGGGAGGUUGGGGACUUAAGGGCAUACUAGCUAGGAUUCAUGGGGGGGGGGGGCAGAACCUCAGUUAGAUAUGUAUUUCUAUUGAUUUAUUUGAUUUGGGGGGGCAGCUGCCCCCCGCCCCCCAUGGCUAUAUCUAUGGCUACUCAUGGAUGUUGAAGGGGCAGCUGACAUGUCAAGUGGAGAGGCACAGCUGCUCAGCUGGAGCAAACCUAGGUGCUUUCAUCAAGAUUGGAAGGGAUAAAAGGGAAGCAAGGAAAAUACUUUCUGUGUAUUCAACUUUCUACAUUGAUGGACCGUGGCUUGACUGCUUUGAGAACUGCACUGUACUGCAGGUAUUUUAACCUUGGAUUUUCUGCAGAGGCAGGAACCUGGCCUUAUGGUUUGACCUUGCUCAUUGUAUUUGACUUGCACCUGUAUUUGACCAUUUGGACUGUCUGAUUGCUCUCUAGUGUUGCUCUAGGGACUGUGUGCACUAUCAGGACUUACCUCCAGGUACGACCAGGUUUAGGAUACCUAACAUUGGUCAAACAAAAUAUUGUUACAGGCUAUGCUGUCCUACCUGCAUAUGCAACAUCUGUUUAGCUUUAGUGUAGCUUGGCCACCAACAAGGAUUGCUAAUCCGUGAGCAUCCAUCAGCUAGAGGUGACAUCUGUAUGCUAGGUUUGGACUUUGAUAUGAGGAAAUGAGAGACAGCUCUCAAUUCUGUGAACAUUUGAAUUAUGGGACUGUCUUAUGGAGCUGGAAAAUGAACUGUUAUUGGAACCAAGGCUGUUUGGAGCCCAUGGUGCUCCCUAUGCAUCUACGUGCUUCCCACCAUGUUUACCGAUUGAUUUGUCAGCCCUCCCAGCCAUGAAGUGCAGCUUUACAGAAUGGAGUAUGAUAUGUUGGUCCAAUUCAAACCAGUUAUGUAUAUCUCAAGUUGCUUGGUCUGCCCACCUCUUCCUUGCAGGGUUACAUUUGAGGUCAAAUCAUAUAGAAAUUAUUAUUUGAAAUCUGUUCCUGAUUUAGCCAAUGAAACUGCAUAUUUUUACCCAUUUUGUACUAUUGGAGUGCAUUUAAUUUGGUUACGACUUGCCUUUUGCAUAAAUGGGAUAGAACUGGGAAGCUCAGUAUGUGAGGAGGCUUUGUGAUGCUGAUGAGCAUCUUAAGGUCUCAUUCUUUUCCAGCACUGGGGUAUCUGAAACAGGGAGCACCUUGUGGCCUCCCUGACCCCCCAGACUUAAUGAAGGCUGGAAGACAGGUGGCACUGCUGGGGCUUCUUCAGCCCAUCUCUUAAUGUGUCUGGGCUGUGAAGAAAAAGCUGCAGUACAAUGUUUAAAAUUGUGGUAGUGUCACCUGAAAACUGGGAGGAGGAUAAUCUUGUCUCACUUCAGGAGCAGAUUCACCUCCACUGUGUUUGUGAAGAGGGGAAUUUUGUCCAUAAAUGACUUAAAUAUAUUGCGUAUCAGUUAAUAUAAAUUUAUAGAGAUGUGACCCUUAAUUCAGCCAACCCAUAUAAUGUGUCUCAAGCCUUUAUUGCUAGACAGAAGCCAAACGUAUAUUUCAAGAAAACGCUGUGAUUAUGUUGAAACAUUUGCUUGAACACUUGAAGGGUCAAAGUGUGUGGGGGUGGGGUGGGGACAAGGGCAUGCACACAAUCCCCACCCCCAAGGCCACAGAUACCUGAGGAGUUUUCAAAAUGCAUUCAAUAGAAUGCACUUAGAAGUCUCCCCGCAAACAGGAGGCCUGACUUAUCAGGGCUUCUGAUCACAGCUCCAACACCCCUUUGGUUAUUGUAUGAAGUACAAAACAGCACACCUGGAGACAUUGGUGUUGCACGCAUGUCCCUGCUCCAUCCCUAGUUUAAGACCCCACAUAGCUCAUAAAUACCAUCCUUUCCUUACAAGCUGCACUGAAACUUUCUGCACCUCAGGGAAGUGGAACUGUUUUGAUUUGGAAGGAAAGCAGCUGGUUGCUUUUGAACUUCCUUCUGCAUCUUUCUGGGGCACAUGCAAAGAGAGUGAUUCAUCACAAAUUGAAUGGAAAGCACUAAAAGGGCAUCUUUUGAGCUCUGUCAAAGUGUUCUUGUUCAGCUGCAUCUUUCUACACUUGCAUCAAACAUCUGAUGUUUCUGCAUUGUUAUCUGAACCAACCCUUAACUUUUUGGGACUCAUCUAUUACCAGCUGUCUCCGAGCAUUAUAAUAUAACUGUAGCAUGCCUUAGGGAAAAUGUGUGCCAGAAAGGAAGAUUGCAAGUGUAAGACUGCAAUCUGUGGUUGUUGUUUUUUUUGAAAAACUAGUUUUCUUUAGUUUGCCAUUAAGAAUUUGUUUGAUUUUUAUAACCUUUCUAAAAAAAUUCCCAAUAGCAGGACAGUUGACAAAACAUCAACACAAGGAGUUAAUUCCUUUCCUUCAAACAAAACUGCUUCUGCAGAUUCACUUUUCCCAUAACCCCCUAUAAAAUAGUAAUAGUUCAGCAUCCUGAGAGAUGUAUAAAGCUCUUUCCAUGUGCAAUGCAUGUACCACUUAAAUCUUAAGACACUGCUAAUACUAUUUUUGUAGAGGCAAAAAUGUGCUGAUUAUCAUUUUACUUAUUCAUUUUUAAUGUAUGUAAAUUCUAAUGGCUCUUUGCCUCAGCAUAAAAAAGUCAUAGUACCAAGGGGAUGGAUUAAACACAGCUUAUCAUUAGCAAUCUUUAUGCUGCUUUAGAAAGAUUCAUGGAGGAUAGGUUUGCACUAGCUAAAUCAAGCCUCCAUGUUUAGAGACAGUAUACCUCAAUACCUUGGAGUAUAUUGAAAUAAAAAAUACUUGGAGUCAAGUGUGGAUUUCAUGCUCUUUACUCAGCUCAUAGUAGUGAGGAAUGCAAAUCCCUCCAAAGUGUCUGCUUUAUAUACAUUAUUUACACAAUGGGCCCCACGUGAUUGGCUAAUUCCGGGAUUCUCCUAUAGGCCAAUCAGGUUGCGGAUUCACUUCCACCUGGAGCUGGAUUGGGUGGCUCCUGUGGACCAAUCAGACUGCUGCAUUCUGGAUCCUAUUGUUCUAGGACCAAUCAGACUGCUGCCUUUUGGAUCCUAUUCAACUCAGUACAUAACACCCUCCCCUCUAAGUUCCAGUCCUGCCCGGGAGGUUGCAUUCAUAGUCCUCAAGUUACGCCAGCCGCCUACGUGUGCAUUGCAGCCUGGGGUGUUCCCUGGUCAGGGGUUCGGGUUCUGGCUCGUGUUCCAAGGAUGCUGGCUGCGAUGGGGCCAUUUGGUCUGGCACAACCAUCUCGCUCAGUCGUGGCUUUGGUUCCGUGUCCUUUCAGCCUCGCGGGUCCUCUCUGUAUUUACUGAUUCUGCCUCUCCUGCUGGCCCCUCCUGUUCUAUGGGCCUCACUGCCCCACUGUUCCCUUGGGACUCCUCUGACCUGUCCUCCUCCUGGUUUUCUCUUGGGAAUUGUCGCCGUAUCUGGUCGCAGUGGCGGCGCCAGCAUUGCCUCCCCCCCCCGUUAGCACCUCGCACGACACGGGGCCAGUGACCCUGGUGACUGUGGCGGGUACCCAUGCCGGGCCUGCCCCAAAAUUCUUUGCGUACACUGGGUCCUGGGUCACGAAGGUCCGGGGGUUCCUGCCUUCCCCCACCACUACCUCAUACUGAGUUCUGUCGGAGUGAAGGCGCUCCUGUCUGAUUGUGAGGUGCUGGCCCAUUAGUAGUUCAGCAGGGCUCCAGCCAGUCGUUGAGCUGUGGGUGCUGUGCUGUGCUAGAAGGAAUGUGGCAAGGUGGUACUCCCAAUCCCCUUGCAUCAUGCGGCGGAGGGUGUCCUUUGUGGUCCACACCAUGUGCUCUGCUUGGCCAUUGGUGGCAGGGUGGAAUGGCGCCGAGCGGAUGUGGCAGAUGGGGUUACGCUCUGUGAAGGUCUGGAAUUCUCCUGACGUAAAUGCGGUUCCGUUGUCUGAGACGAGAGUGUCAGGGAGCCCGUGGGUUGCAAACAGCCUGCGUAGUACCCGGAUGGCUGCAGACAUAGAAGUGGACGGUACCUGUGUGACUUCCAUCCAUUUGGUGUAGGAGUCCACCACUAAGAAGAAUGUUUUCGAUCCCUUGUGGGCCGAGUUCAUGUUUACGGGUUGUGUAGCCCGUGAAUUCAUGUCCUCGCCACCCUGGCUGGGUCAAAUUUUUUUGGCAAGCUGGACUUGGCCCAGGCCUAUCAACAGCUGCCAGUGGAUGAGGCCACAGCAGAGGCACAGACGAUUGUGAUGCACAGAGGAGCUUUCAAGGUAAAGCGGCUACAAUUCGGUCUCAGCGUGGCACCAGGCAUAUUCCAGAAUCUAAUGGACUCCCUCCUUAAAGGGAUUCCUGGCGUCACCCCCUUCUUCAAUGAUGUGUUGAUUGCCGGGCCCACACCAGAGGAGUUUGAGGACCGCCUCCGCACCGUUCUGCACCAUUUCCAGACAGCGGGUCUCAAGGUGAAGCGGGAAAAGUGUCUACUAAGAGUGCCUCAGGUGGACUUUCUGGGAUUUAUGGUGGACGCAGAAGGGGUCCACCUGACUGGGGACAAGGUACGGGCCAUUUGUGAUGCCCCAGCACCCAAGGGUAAGACUGAACUUCAGGACUUCUUGGAACUACUGAACUUUUACCAUGCCUUCCUCCCCCAUUAGGCGGCAGUAGCGGAGCUCCUACACAGACUCCUGGACAAGCGGGCCCCUUGGGUGUGGAGCCAGCGCCAGGAGGCCGCAUUCCAGCAGUCAAGGACUUGCUCGUCUCAAACUCGGUCUUGGCACACUUUGACAAGAGGCCUCUGGUGGUGCUAGCAUGCGACGCCUCGCCCUACAGAAUUGGCGCUGUCCUGAGACACCAACGCCCAGAUGGAAGAGAAGUGCCGGUAGCAUACUUUCCCUAGACAUUCACCACAGCUGAGCAGAACUACUUGCAAAUCGACAAGGAGGGUCUGGCAAUCGUGAAGGGAGUAAAAAAAUUCCAUGAUUUCUUUUACGGGCAGCCCUUUACUGUGGUGACUGACCACAAGCCAUUGCUUGGUUUGUUUGUCCCCCGAAAAGCAGCCCCCCCAAGUGCUGUCUCCUUGCAUCCUCAGGUGGUCAGUUUUCCUUUCCAGCUACCAGUAUGCACUGAUUCACCGCCCUGGGAAGGCGAUGGACACAGACACCCUCAGCAGGCUACCACUACCGGAAACAGGCCACGUGACCUGCAUUUAUAUUUGAUGAUGCUGAAAAAGCUUUUGACAAUGUGUUGUGGAAAUUUCUUAAGAAGAAUUUGGAAUUAAUGGAAAUGGGAGAGAAGUUUAUUAGAAGGAUACAAGCAAUAUAUGACUGUCAAAAGGCAAAUUUGAUAAUUAAUGGUGAAUUGUCAGAAGCGUUUAAAAUUGAAAAGGGAACCAGGCAGGGGUGUCCCCUUACCCUGUUAUUAUUUAUUCUAACUUUUGAAAUUCUUAAUCAAGAAAUAAGGGAGGAGAAAUAAAUAAAAGGAAUAUCCUUCCCCCCCAUCUCUAGAAACCACAUUAUGGAAAUGCAUCCUCUGUUACUGGUUGGCUUUAUGGCAUAAACUUCCAAAUCUCCACUUGAUACAAUGCCUCUGGAGAGAUGACUUCCCUAGCCCCUGGGCAAAAAUAAUACAUGGGAAACUUGUGUCCCUAGGACUAUCUCCAUCUGAACUAUUAAAAUUGGAUUUAACUUUGGCCAAAAGAAUUAUAACCCACAAAUUAGAGGAGAUGGAUUUCCAAUUUAAUAUUGCGACAGGUGGUGGCACCUGUUCGCCGAUAAACCUUGGCUUAACACCACCAACGAAACUUCCAUCUUACUUAACUACCUUAUCUGUGGUGACGCACAGGUAUGCCUUUAUAAUGGCUAGAUUCAAUGCUUUCCCAUCAAACGUGUUGGGUAACAGACUCUCCAACGGACAGAUCUCACUCCUCUGUGACUGUAAAAGUGGAUCUAUAGAAUCGUUAUAUCAUAUAAUCUUCUGUUGUCCAUUACAUUCGGCUUCACGGUCCAAGUUUCUGGCCCCAUAUUUAUCGAGAAUUGCGGACAGUCCUCAGGAAGCCCAAAUAAUAUACUUAUUAAACGACGAAGAUACAAGUAGAUCCCUUGCAAUCGCUAGAUAUCUGAGUAAUGUUUUAUUUCAAAAGAGGAGAAAUGGAUCACUGUGUGUUUCGGACAGCUUAGCUAAACUUAAGAACCAUCAAUAAGUGCCAGAACUAAGACGUAUACCCCCCAAAAUCUGAUGGAUCGGAAUUGCGGUUUACAUAGAGGGAGCUUAUUGUGUAUAGUGUUUACUUAACUAAAGUAAAAUUGGUUUUAUAAGGGUGUUUUAACUUGGAACUGUUUAAAUUGUAUUGUUUAUGGAUAAAUUCUGAUGUAUUGUUUUCGAUAUGGGCCAAUGGCCGCAAUAAAUCUAAAUCUAAUCCUUCCCCCCCAUGUGAAUAAAACUUUAUUUAGAAUUCGACAAUAACAAAGAAAAAGAACCACAGUGGUUGUUACAUCAAAUCGUUACAAUUAACCAGUUUAAACAUUUUAUAAAUACUACUAAAGAAAUUACAUAACAUCACUUUUAACUUACUGAGGUUUUCAUAUUAUCACUUUAUCUUUUUCUUAACAUAUCAAAAAGAGAAAGACC